UUCAAAUGCUUCCCAUCACCUCGAGUGGUGAAGCUUUCUUACAGUAAGGAGACGUUUAUGUAACAUUUAUGGAAGGAGUCUCCAGCGUCAGCGCUUUGUAUCGGUCUGUAACGUUUUCAGAGUUUUUCCGAGGGGCUUACGCUUCUUUACGUUGUGAUCGACCAAUCGGUAAUGUGCGCUGUUUCCAGCCCCGCCCACAUUCUCCAGUGCGUAUGUGCUUUAACACUUCUGAGAUCUGAGUCAUGAAUCAGCUGAGCGGCGAUCACAGCUCACUGGCGCUGUACCUGUGUGUGUGUGUGUGUGUGUGUGUGUGUGUUGUGUCUCGUCUCAGCCGGGUGUGAAGUUGUAAUAAGAGGUGAAAAUUCGUUUAGUUUUCUCAAAAGCUCAGCACCAGGGUGUUUUUAUGAUUCUUCCAGACCCUAGUUCAACUAUCAUGAGAGCUUCACCCAGGGAUAAACGAAUUAAAUACGAUUCACGUCAUUGCCACACGUCCGCCUCGGCACACAGGCCGGGUGAAGGCGAGGGUGCCAAUACUUUUAUCUAUGCAGAAGACGUACGGUAAGAAGAUGUGCAGCUUUGUUGGACGACGUUAAGGAACAACAAAAAGGUGUUCAGUGGCUGAAUCUCAAACUCUGUUUUGUGCUCUGUACUGGGUAGGGCACUGGCUAGGGCACUAGGUAGGACACUGGGUAGGACACUGGGUAGGACACUGGGUAGGGCACUAGCUAGGGCACUAGGAAGGGCACUGGGUAGGGCACUGGGUAGGGUACUAGCUAGGGCACUAGGAAGGGCACUGGGUAGGGUACUAGCUAGGGCACUAGGAAGGGCACUGGGUAGGGCACUAGCUAGGGCACUAGGAAGGGCACUGGGUAGGGCACUGGGUAGGGCACUGGGUAGGGCACUGGGUAGGGCACCAGGAAGGGCACUGGGUAGGGCACUGGGUAGGGCACUAGGAAGGGCACUGGGUAGGGCACUAGGUAGGGUACUAGCC
ensembl:lncRNA